GAUGAACGCUGGCGGCGUGCCUAAUACAUGCAAGUCGAGCGAACAGACGAGGAGCUUGCUCCUCUGACGUUAGCGGCGGACGGGUGAGUAACACGUGGAUAACCUACCUAUAAGACUGGGAUAACUUCGGGAAACCGGAGCUAAUACCGGAUAAUAUAUUGAACCGCAUGGUUCAAUAGUGAAAGACGGUUUUGCUGGCACUUAUAGAUGGAUCCGCGCCGCAUUAGCUAGUUGGUAAGGUAACGGCUUACCAAGGCAACGAUGCGUAGCCGACCUGAGAGGGUGAUCGUCCACACUGGAACUGAGACACGGUCCAGACUCCUACGGGAGGCACCAGUAGGGAAUCUUCCGCAAUGGGCGAAAGCCUGACGGAGCAACGCCGCGUGAGUGAUGAAGGUCUUCGGAUCGUAAAACUCUGUUAUUAGGGAAGAACAAAUCUGUAAGUAACUAUGCACGUCUUGACGGUACCUAAUCAGAAAGCCACGGCUAACUACGUG
rnacentral:rRNA from 1 species